GCCUGGAUAGUUCAGUGGUAGAAUACAUGCUUUGGGUGUAUGUGGUCCUCGGUUCAAUCCCGAGUUCAGGCC